AGACUUUCUUCCAAAGACUUUCUCCAAAGACUUUCUCCCAUCCUGUCUUCCCUUGCGGUGCUACAGACUUCUCAGAAAACAGACAAACUCCAGGCUUGCCUCAAGACAGCGGUUACAACAUCUACCCUCAGUCCCUUAAGGUGGUGACAUCUCUGGCUCGUUCCAGACCAGCCUUCACCACCAGAGGGGUGUCUGUCUGCCACCUGUGUCUGUUUGUCUGUACGCACCUGUACACGUCUACGUCUGUCCACCCUACACGCAUACACACUAACAACAUUUCUUGACAUCAUUGCUGACAACAGAACCCACUUACCUACAUACCUGCAUACAUAUUUGUGACAAGAAUUCUUAACACUGUCUGAUUACAUACCUGCUGCACAUAUCUGGCACAUACUUUGAUCACAUACUGUUUGUCUUGUCUGUGCACGAAAGAUACAUUACUGACAACAUUGCUGACAUCACUGACAUCAUCUCUGACAACAGAACCCACUUUCCUACAUACCUGCAUACAUAUUGCUGACAAGAAUUCUUAACACUGUCUGAUUGCAUACCUGCUGAAAAUACCUGCUGCACAUACCUGAAUGUACAUACCUGCUGCACAUACUUGAACUAUACUCUGAAUAAAGCCUAUACUCUGAAUCAAGCCUAUACUCUGAAUCAAGCCUAUACUCUGAAUAUACUCUGAAUCAAAUCUAUACUCUGAUCUAUACUGAGAACUACACCUGGGAACCAUUCAUACAGAGAAGUGUAUACAGUAUAUCUGUAAAUUAUACCUUUCAAACAUUUGAACAAUCUAUACUGUGAAAAUUAUCUGUGCUGUUAGCUCUACUUUUAGACCUGAGCUGUCCUGCAAGACCUGCUGUGCUGUGUGAAGAUUUUGAUAUUCCAACCAGAGUCUGCAUAACCUUGACCGCUGCCCCCAUCAUCAAGUGUGACCUCCACUCCAGUGCUGCCUAUUCACAAUUACCAGCGAUACAUUGCUGAAAUUUAAG